rnacentral:rRNA from 1 species
GACGAACGCUGGCGGCGUGCUUAACACAUGCAAGUCGAACGGAAAGGCCCUGCUUUUGUGGGGUGCUCGAGUGGCGAACGGGUGAGUAACACGUGAGUAACCUGCCCUUGACUUUGGGAUAACUUCAGGAAACUGGGGCUAAUACCGGAUAGGAGCUCCUGCUGCAUGGUGGGGGUUGGAAAGUUUCGGCGGUUGGGGAUGGACUCGCGGCUUAUCAGCUUGUUGGUGGGGUAGUGGCUUACCAAGGCUUUGACGGGUAGCCGGCCUGAGAGGGUGACCGGCCACAUUGGGACUGAGAUACGGCCCAGACUCCUACGGGAGGCAGCAGUGGGGAAUAUUGCACAAUGGGCGGAAGCCUGAUGCAGCAACGCCGCGUGCGGGAUGACGGCCUUCGGGUUGUAAACCGCUUUCGCCUGUGACGAAGCGUGAGUGACGGUAAUGGGUAAAGAAGCACCGGCUAACUACGUGCCAGCAGCCGCGGUGAUACGUAGGGUGCGAGCGUUGUCCGGAUUUAUUGGGCGUAAAGGGCUCGUAGGUGGUUGAUCGCGUCGGAAGUGUAAUCUUGGGGCUUAACCCUGAGCGUGCUUUCGAUACGGGUUGACUUGAGGAAGGUAGGGGAGAAUGGAAUUCCUGGUGGAGCGGUGGAAUGCGCAGAUAUCAGGAGGAACACCAGUGGCGAAGGCGGUUCUCUGGGGCCUUUCCUGACGCUGAGGAGCGAAAGCGUGGGGAGCGAACAGGCUUAGAUACCCUGGUAGUCCACGCUGUAAACGGUGGGUACUAGGUGUGGGGUCCAUUCCACGGGUUCCGUGCCGUAGCUAACGCUUUAAGUACCCCGCCUGGGGAGUACGGCCGCAAGGCUAAAACUCAAAGGAAUUGACGGGGCCCCGCACAAGCGGCGGAGCAUGCGGAUUAAUUCGAUGCAACGCGUAGAACCUUACCUGGGUUUGACAUGGAUCGGGAGUGCUCAGAGAUGGGUGUGCCUCUUUUGGGGUCGGUUCACAGGUGGUGCAUGCCUGUCGUCAGCUCGUGUCGUGAGAUGUUGGGUUAAGUCCCGCAACGAGCGCAACCCUUGUUCACUGUUGCCAGCACGUUAUGGUGGGGACUCAGUGGAGACCGCCGGGGUCAACUCGGAGGAAGGUGGGGAUGGCGUCAAGUCAUCAUGCCCCUUAUGUCCAGGGCUUCACGCAUGCCACAAUGGCUGGUACAGAGAGUGGCGAGCCUGUGAGGGUGAGCGAAUCUCGGAAAGCCGGUCUCAGUUCGGAUUGGGGUCUGCAACUCGACCUCAUGAAGUCGGAGUCGUUAGUAAUCGCAGAUCAGCAACGCUGCGGUGAAUACGUUCCCGGG